GGCCCCAUCGUCUAGAGGUUAGGACAUCAGGUUUUCAUCCUGGAAACAGGGGUUCGAUUCCCCUUGGGGCUACCA
rnacentral:tRNA from 1 species